AUUGAACGCUGGCGGCAUGCCUUACACAUGCAAGUCGAACGGCAGCACGGGGCAACCUGGUGGCGAGUGGCGAUCGGGUGAGUAAUGCAUCGGAACGUACCUUUCAGUGGGGGAUAACGUAGCGAAAGUUACGCUAAUACCGCAUAUUCUGUGAGCAGGAAAGCAGGGGAUCGCAAGACCUUGCGCCGAUUGAGCGGCCGAUGUCAGAUUAGCUAGUUGGUGAGGUAAAGGCUCACCAAGGCGACGAUCUGUAGCGGGUCUGAGAGGAUGAUCCGCCACACUGGAACUGAGACACGGUCCAGACUCCUACGGGAGGCAGCAGUGGGGAAUUUCGGACAAUGGGGGCAACCCUGAUCCAGCCAUGCCGCGUGAGUGAAGAAGGCCUUCGGGUUGUAAAGCUCUUUCGGCCGGGAAGAAAUCGCACGGGCUAAUACCCUGUGUGGAUGACGGUACCGGAAUAAGAAGCACCGGCUAACUACGUGCCAGCCGCCGCGGUAACAC
rnacentral:rRNA from 1 species